rnacentral:lncRNA from 1 species
UACGGGUUGAUGAACUCAUUUAAGCGGGUUAUUUAGAGAGAAAGGGUUUUUAAUUGUUUUCGGCUGGAAGAGUAAUGGUUUUUGGGGUGAAAGAAUAAUGGCUUACGGGUUGAUGAAUUCAUUUAAGCGGGUUGUUUUAGGAGAAAGGGCUUUGAAUUGGUUUCUGGUUUAAGAAUAAUGGUUUACGGGUUGAAGAUUUCAUUUAUUUUUUAUGUUUUAAGGAAUAAUUGUGUUUUGUUUCGUAUUUUUUUUUUUAUCAAGUUUUAUAUCGAUACUUUUAAAUACGGUAUAAACUUAUAUUUGAUCAUAUACAUAUUAGAAUUACAGAAUGUACAAUUUAGUUCUACUUUAUUGUUUUUUAUAAUUUAUUUGAAUUUAAUUUAAUCUAGCAUGGCAUAUCAAACAACUUAAUUAAACUUAUUCCAACCCUUGUUUUUUUUUUAUUUUUUUCUUUUCCGAUUCAUUAGCUGUAUAUGGCGUUGUUUCACACAACUAAAUACAUUUUUCAUGCAUCCAAAUAGAAACAACAAAUCAAAUUCAUAAAAUAAAUCAAGUACCCUACAUAACAAACCGAUUACUUAACGAAGGAAAAAAAAAAAAAAAAUAAUUAAAAUAACAAACAGCAAAAAAUUUCACAAAAAAAAAAGUAUCAUGUGUCCAAUUGAAUACAUUUCAACCAACGUGAAUCCAUUCAACUCACUUAAAUAUUUAAAUAAAGACAUUAAAACAUAUUUAACACAACAACAAACACCAAAAUAUAAACUAAUUCAACAGACUAGUAGAACCUUAAUAAUUCCAACACUCAUGAAACAUUCAUUAAUAGAUAUCAAUGUAGUAAAUAGUCAGCAAAACAGAGCAAACAAAAAAAAAAUAAAAUACCAACAUAUCCAGCAACAUGACUAAAAUCUAACAGCUAACUCAAAUUCUGCAAACAACUUACUCCAUUUACUUUAAUCCGACAUGGCAUAUGGGACGAAUAACUUACCCAAUCCAACUUAAUCCAACAUGCCAUAUCGAACAAACAACUUACGUAAUGCAAAUUAAUAAGGCAUAGCAUAUUUAACAACUUACUCAAUCAAACAAACAACUUACGUAAUGCAAAUUAAUCAGCCAUGGCAUAUGCGACGAAUAACUUAAUCCAACUUAAUCCAACAUGCCAUAUCGAACAAACAACUUACGUAAUGCAAAUUAAUAAGGCAUGGCAUAUUUAACAACUUACUCAAACAACUUCUUCUUUUUCCGUCAUAGUAAAGAUACAAUUGUUUGAAAUCUUAUUUUUUCAUCCACUUUUUUACUACUUCAAAUAAUCCAGGUAUUAUGUUUGACAAUACAUCCUUCAUGUUCUUCUCAUUUUAUUUCAUUAAAUUAAAAAUAAUAAAAAAAAAAAUAAAUAAAUAAAUUGUUACGAA